UUAUCCCAGUUUUAAUUAUUUUUCACCCCGAGCUCCAUCAAAUGUUUCUUGAUCUUUGUAAAACUUCACAAAAACUGUAAAUUGUUGGUCCUUAGUGUCAGCAGUUAAUUAGUGGUUAACACACACACACACACACACACACACACAGACACACAAUCUGCCCAGAGACAGAUGAGUGCACAUCAAAGGAGUAGUCCAACAAGAUGGCUACUUUGGUAACCAUGUGUGUAUCCUCCAACUGCAACACCCAGUCAAAUGUGGUGCUAGUCCGCCUGUCCUGUUGGUCAGCUACCGAACGAGUGAAUCCACAGGAGCAAGAGACAGGUACAGGGGCACAGCUGCUCUGGAAGAUUAAUGGUCCUGCCAGAUGUAGGGACUCUGAAAAGGGUGACCAUCCCAUGUUGCUCCUCAUAACGGAGGAAAAGGACAAAGCAGCCGUCAUAGGGCCAUGGGACAGACACAGCAGGGGUGUCGAUUCGUCACUGCAUGCAGAGUAUAAGAUUACAUGACAGCAAUGUGCAGAAACUGCCAGAGACGACAAGCUGAAGUGAUGGAGACGGACUAGAAUUGGCGAUGAUGGCGCCAGGUCUCGGGCCCAAGGUUGGAGGACGAGGGAGUGAGAUAGACGGCCGUCCCCAGGGCAGGGUGAGGGUCUGCUGGGCAGCUGUCCGGUAAUUAGUCCCCUCCCUAGUGCUUGCCCUCUGGCAUCUGUCGGAGCAGCGGCUAACAGUGCACGUGGCCCUCCUCCAGCUCUCAGGACGCAGUUCAGUUAAAACCAUUAGGCUUCAUUUAAUCACAUUCACCUGCAGUUAAACACACACCUGGUCAAGUUGUGUGACAGAUGUGAUGAUGUAUGUUGAUAUAAACACAAAUAGAUAUAAUAAAUGCAAAUGUGCUUGUACAACUGCUUUUUCUUUGGUCCUUCCAACAGCAUGACCAUACAAUAUAUCUAAAUAUAGGCCACAUUGGAUUAAGGUCUUCCACUCGCAAACCAUCUCAUUAUGAAAAGCUCCCGUGGGAGUUAAACAGUGUUUGUGCAAUGCUCUUCAUAGCGAGCUG
rnacentral:lncRNA from 1 species